rnacentral:rRNA from 1 species
UAAGGAAUAUUGGUCAAUGGACGCAAGUCUGAACCAGCCAUGCCGCGUGAAGGAUGAAGGUCCUCUGGAUUGUAAACUUCUUUUAUAUGGGACGAAAAAAGGGGAUUCUUCCUCACUUGACGGUACCAUAGGAAUAAGCACCGGCUAACUCCGUGCCAGCAGCCGCGGUAAUACGGAGGGUGCGAGCGUUAUCCGGAUUUACUGGGUUUAAAGGGUGCGUAGGUGGGCAGGUAAGUCAGUGGUGAAAUCUCCGGGCUUAACCCGGAAACUGCCAUUGAUACUAUCUGUCUUGAAUAUCCUGGAGGUGAGCGGAAUAUGUCAUGUAGCGGUGAAAUGCUUAGAUAUGACAUAGAACACCGAUUGCGAAGGCAGCUCACUACGGGAUCAUUGACGCUGAGGCACGAAAGCGUGGGGAUCAAACAGG